rnacentral:lncRNA from 1 species
CUUUUGGCCCCCUAAAUUUCAAAAAGUUGCUAUUUUGGCCUCCUAUGUUUCAAAAUAGCAAUUUUGGCCCCCUAUGUUUACCCCUUUUGCAAAAUAAAAGUUCAAGACACUUUUCUAAAUGAAAGUUCAAGAUACUUUUCUAAAUCAAAAUGACAUAACAAAUCAAGUCAUUACAUAUAUGAAGUCAUUACAUAAUUAAAAAGACAUAACAAAAAGCACGAAGAUUUUCAAUUUCCAUUGUUUCCUAUUUUUGGAUUUGGAAUUAGGUUUUUUUUUUACGUAUAGUGAAAAAUCCUUUUGAAUAAACGUCACGAAGUAUUUGGUUAAUUCUUUAGGAUUUGAGAUUAUAUAUGUGUGUUAGUGAAAGAAUAAAUUAUUUUUUUUUUGAACAUAGUGAAAGAAUAAAUUUAAAGCAUGUGACUUCUUCCUUUUAUUUUUUUAUUCUUUUAGUUUUUUUAAUUAUAAGAUGACAAAAAAAUGUUGACGUGGCAGCUGAGUCACUUAAGUGACUUGCCACAUUAACUUUGACUCGAUCAAAAUUGACCUUUUGCAAAAGGGGUAAAGAUAGGGGCCAAAAGUGCUAUUUUGAAACAUAGGUGGCCAAAAUCGCAACUACUGAAACUUAGGGGGCCAAAAUUGCUAUUUUGAAACAUAGGGGGCCAAAAUCGCAACUUUUUGAAACUUAGGGGGCUAUAGGUGUUAUUUUGAAACAUAAGGGGCCAAAAUUGCAAGUUUCUGAAACUUAGGGGGCCAAAAGUGCAAUUUAGCCU